GACGAACGCUGGCGGCGUGCUUAACACAUGCAAGUCGAACGGAAAGGCCCUGCUUUUGUGGGGUGCUCGAGUGGCGAACGGGUGAGUAACACGUGAGUAACCUGUCCUUGACUGUGGGAUAACUCCAGGAAACUGGGGCUAAUACCGGAGAGGAGCUCCUGCUGCAUGGUGGGGGUUGGAAAGUUUCGGCGGUUGGGGAUGGACUCGCGGCUUAUGAGCUUGUUUGUGGGGUAGUGGCGUACCAAGGCUUUGACGGGUAGCCGGCCUGAGAGGGUGGCCGGCCACAUUAGGACUGAGAUACGGCCCAGACUCCUACGGGAGGCAGCAGUGGGGAAUAUUGCAGAGUGGGCGGAAGCCUGAUGCAGCAACGCCGCGUGCGGGAUGACGGCCUUCGGGUUGUAAACCGCUUUCGCCUGUGACGAGGCGUGAGUGACGGUAAUGGGUAAAGAAGCACCGGCUAACUACGUG
rnacentral:rRNA from 1 species